rnacentral:lncRNA from 1 species
ACACUUCAGUUUCCGCCUUCUGCUCACGGACUGCAGAGAAAAGACGCCCUUCAAGACACAACGCUGUUCAUAUUUGUAAGUAGAAUAGUUUAAUGAAAUGUCUGAUACUUUUUCAUCUCCUGUUAGCUUUUCAUGUCACAUAUUUGACUUGUGUUAUUAUCCCUAAAGUCCCAGAGAAAGGAGAGAGGAGCAGAGAUGAGUUUAACUGCAGCAGUGAGUGGAUUCAUCCUUCUCCUCUCUGUAUCAGGUACUUCAUAUCUAAAGCUUUUCCUCUUCACUCUGAUACACCUGCAGCCUCUUUUUAAUUUGAUCAAAAACAGACUCUGCUUACAGAACCUGCAGUUUUUUCUCCAAAAUUCUGAUUGUAAUUUGCUGUAUUGAAAUCACUUUUUGAGUUUUUUAGUGGAUACUAGUUUUGCAGUCAGGCUAGUGUCUCAGGGACUCAUUUAUUACAACACAUCUGCAACAAGCCUGUCUGUUCCUCUUCAUAGGUGUUAUAUUUCCAUGCUGAUGCUGCAUUGACAGCACUUAUCUAAUCAUUGAGUAUUAGCUGCUGUACAGUUUCUCACCCCUUAGACUUCUGCAUUUAUUUUUAGAUACACACUUGACUGGGCAGCUAACUUUGCACAGAGAAAACUUUCACAGAACAGCACAAUCUGUCAAAUAAUUUACACUGUUAAUAAUGCUGUUGGGUUAGAGAAGUGUUGAUGAAUAUAAACAUCUGUAAUUUUUCAGUAUGGAUAAAUCUUCUCUCAGAUAUUUUGAUAAGUAGUUUAAAAUCUAAUAACAAACAGAGAAAAAAGCUAAACCUGACAAAAAUAUCUUACAUGUGAUUGUUAUAUCAAGAUGAUGUCGGACUGCACCUCAAUGAUCUGGUUCAGAUUUAUUUAUUUCAUGUUCAGUCUUAAACUUUUCCUGGUCUGGUUAAAUUGACUGUGUUCUCUGAUUUUUGUGUUUUAGUGGUUCAGCCUCAGAAUGGCUGGGAGGUGACUUACUCUAAAACUCAGAUCUGUGUCUCUAGAGGAUCAACUGUGGAAAUAAGCUGCAACUUUAAGUACCCAAAAACAAUGGAGAGGAAGCAGAACAAACUCUUAAAAACAUUUUGGUUUAUCAGGAGACGUGGUGAUGAGUUUCUAAACAUUGAAACAGACUCAGAGUAUUCAGGUCGUGUGAAGACCACGCAUGAUGGGACCAGAUCCACCCUAACAAUCACAAACCUGACAGGGAGUGACUCAGCUCAGUACAAGUUCAGGAUGGAGACAAGCCUGGACAAAUAUUCUGGCUACCCAGGUGUCACCCUGUCUGUGAGAGGUAGUUUUCUGUGAAAUGUCUCAUCCUUUACCUUUUUGAAAAUCGUGUAAAUGAUUAUAUUAUGUGUAUGUUUAUGUGGAAAGUACUGACAGUUUUAUCUGAUCAGAUGUCCAGAUAAGGGUGAGCAGACCAGGUGGGCAUUUGCAGUUGAAGUGUCUCAGCCGUUGUCGUCAAGAUUUUCGAUACAUUUGGUUCAUGAAUGGAGAAAAAAUUAAGAACCAAAAUUCAAAAUAUCAUCAACCAGACCAGAUUCUGAACACAGACAGAUUUUCCUGUGCUGUAGAAGGAUAUGAGGACUUCCCCUCUCCUUCAGUGUGUGAGUUUACCCCUCCCUUUCCUCUAACACAACACUAUCUGAUGGAGGUUUUAAAAUGUAGUGCUCGCCCUGACUCUCUGGUCUGUGGCUAACAUUUCCACUUUAAAAAACAUCUCAUAUCUGUGAUGCUCAGAGUAAAAACUCAAUAGUAAAGAGUUGUUAAAGGACAGAGAGCAUAAACCAAGUACAUCAGUGACUGAAAUGUUAACUGUAAAAUGUGUUUCUUCUUCAGAUGCUUUCGAGCCUCCCUCUGUGUCAGUAAGUUCCUCUGCUGAGAUAAUGGAGGGAAAAAAUGUGACUCUGACCUGCAGCAGUGGUGCUAAUGUAGAAUCCAGUUAUACCUGGUAUCAAAGAAAUGAACCUCUAUAUCCUCUGCGUCUCAGGAGAGGACCUCAGCUUGUCUUCAGCUCCAUCAAGUCCUCAGACUUUGGACAGUAUUACUGUGAAGUGAGGAACAUCUUUGGGACGCAGAUAUUGGGGAACAUCUUGGCUGGUUUGACAUGUGUGUGAAACAUCACAGUUCAAACACAUUAGAAAGACAAUAAACUACACAACAAUACCUCAAAACAGUUUUAUCCUGUAUUUGAACAAAAAGCACUAAGACAAAAUUUCUUCUUUUAUAUGUUUAUUUGCAAGUUUAAUUUACCAACUUUGAUUAAAUCCAUUUCCAGAUGAUCCAGAGCUUCCCUCUGUGUCAGUGAGUCCCUCUGCUGAGAUAGUGGAGGGUAAUCAUGUGACUCUGACCUGCAGCAGUGAUGCUAAGCCAGAUGCUACUUAAACCUGGUACAGAAGAAGUGGACGUCUAAGUCUGAGUCUCAGAAAAGGAAAUCAGCUUGUCUUCAGCUCCAUUCAGUCCUCAGACUCUGGACAGUAUUAUUGUGAAGUGAGGGGCAUCACCGGGUCCUCUAGGGACGUCUUAGUUUAUGUGAAAUGUGAGUAAAAAGUCACAUUUAAAGAGGAACAGAAGGAUGAAAACCAUACACAACCAUGUCCCAGAAAUGAUUUUUAUUCUGUGUUCGUUUCUUUGUCAUUUCUGUUUUUAUCCGUCUUCAGAUGCUCCAAAGUUCUCUUAUGUGUCUGUGAGUCCCUCUUCUGAGAUAGUGGAGGGCAGUUCAGUGACUCUGACCUGUAUCAGUUAUGCCAACCCAGCACCACGUUCCACCUGGUACAAGGAGAACAACACCACGUUUCAGUCAACAGGAGGAAUUUAUACUUUUUUCAACAUCAGCCAUCUGGACAGAGGGAGAUACAACUGCAGAUCUGAGAAUCAAUAUGGAUCACAUGUAUCUCCCCCUCUCUCACUAGAUAUCCAGUGUGAGUAGAAGACAUUACAAAGUUAGAUCACCUGGUACAAAACUCUUCUUAAUGGCUUAAGUCUCCAUGUAAAGUUCUCUUUCGAUCUCCUCCAGAUGCUCCAAAACGUCCCUCUGUGUCAGUGAGUCCCUCUGCUGAGAUAGUGGAGGGUAGUUCAGUAAAUCUGACCUGCAGCAGUGAUGCUAACCCUGCAGCUACUUAUACCUGGUACAAAGAGAGUGAAGACUCAGCAAACGCUUCAGGACAGACCUUCACCAUCACUGAGUUCAGAGCUAAUCACAGUGGGAAUUAUUACUGUGAAGCCCGGAACAAAAUAGGACGCCAGAAAUCCAGCCCACAUCAGAUCGUUGCGGCAGGUGAGAUAUUUACACACCUGCACACAGAGAGCUUACCCAGAAUACUCAAAGCAGCUCAUGAUAUGUUUGAUUAAUUAAUUUUUUCCUUCACAAACACGUUUUCUCUGAAUCAGAUCUUAAAACUGACUAAAGUGAAUAAUUCAUGGAGGGAACUCCAUGUCAGAUUCUGGCUCAACAGAGUCUCAGACAGAGCUAAAGAUAUAGACCAGUCUGAUUCUGUUAGUAAUGUGUCUCACAUAUCUCUCUUCUUUCAUUCAAGGGAAAUCAACAAUAACAACCAUAAUUAGCAUCAGGUUGACCCUGUUCUUUUUGAUGUUGAUUCCUCCACCUCUCGUGAGUCUGUUGACAAGGUAAAACCAUAAAACUCCAUCAAUUCAAACACGUUUCUUUUAUGAGCUUCUUCACUUGGUUCAUAGUUUAAUUUCUUUUCUCUCUAUCACUGUAAAACUGACUGUUCUCAAAUGUAAUAAUCCAGGAAGAAGAAACCUCUGAACUCCAACACUGAACCAAGUGAACCUGCAGAGAUGAUAGAGGUGAGACCGACUGCUGACAAAAUAUCUUUACAGACCUGUUCAAAGAUGUCAGGAUCAAAGUUUCAAAAUGGGACUAAAAUACUUUCAAAGAUGAUCAACUCUCUUCAUCUGUCCUCAGCUGGACUCUGCUCAUGAGAAUGAGAAAGUCUCAGCGGUCACUGCAGCACAGACUGAAGACAUAGAGGAGCAGGAAGACAGGGUGUAAAGUCCAGUCAGGGUGGGGUGUCUCCAGUGGUGCUGAUGGUCUACUGGUCCCAUAACUGGACUAGAGUCCCCUGUUGAGCGGUUGCUGGUUCAACUCCCGCCCAUGAUCCUUUGCUGCACAUGUUCUCUCACUUUCUACACUCCUCAUUUGCUGUCUUUCUUCUGCUUUCCUAUCUACAAAAGGAAAAAAUGCCCCAAAACACGACUGUCAUGAAAGUCAAAUAGAAAAACAAGAUACUUUAAAAAUCAAGUCAAAAAUAAGACGUUUCAAACUCUUACUUUUGUCAUGUUGGUUAAGUUUCCUUUAUUUUUGCACAUUCAUGUUUUGUUUCAUGUCAUGUAUUUCCUGUUUUAUUUUGUAGUUCACCAACUCUUGUUUCUGUCUUCUAGCUUUGUUCCUGUCUGGUCUGCCCUCGUUUUGUCACACCUGCUGCCUGAUUGUGUUUCCCCACCUGUUCCCCAUCACCCUCACUACCUCUUGUAUUUAAUCUCAUGCAUCUCACUUUCUCAUCACCAGUUCGUUGCACUCUAUAGUCACGUUCCAGCAUUAUGCAUAGUUUUAGUAAAGUCAUGUAUUACCUUUGCCUGCUUUAUUUUUGACCUUGCCUUUUUACAAUAAAUCCUUGUCUUUUGGACCAACUGAUCUGGUGUUGUGCAAUUGUGUUCUCUCCUCUGUGUCUUGGUUUAUAACAAUUUCUACAGAGAGUCUGACCUCCUCCACAGAGAUAACAGACCAACUUCAGAUUCAUUCUCACUGUCUUAAUCUUUUUUUUGUGAUUGUACGCAGAUGCAGUGUGUUUCACCCUCCAGUUAGUUAAAAAAAAGUCCUGUCAACAAGACUCUGGCAGAUCUGUUGGUCCAGCCACUCUAAUAUUUCACUGUCCAAAAUGAUGGGCCAACUCAUCUCCUGUGUGGCAUAUUUAUUCUUACAGGAACUGCAAAAACAUAAAAACAGUCAUUAAUAGGAGCGCACUCUGUUCUGUGUCUUUACGCUUCAUCCUCACACACUGACUGGACUUCUCUGUUUUAUGAUAAACACUCUACACUUGCACUGUAAAACAACUCUUAAAGCAACAAAAUACUACAGUGGUGUUGAAAUAAAAUUCAUGACAUUACUGUCUCAAUAUUUAUACUAUUUUAACCAUUACAUCUCCUUUAUGAACU